AUGCAAGUCGAACGGCAGCACGGGUGCUUGCACCUGGUGGCGAGUGGCGAACGGGUGAGUAAUACAUCGGAACAUGUCCUGUAGUGGGGGAUAGCCCGGCGAAAGCCGGAUUAAUACCGCAUACGAUCUACGGAUGAAAGCGGGGGACCUUCGGGCCUCGCGCUAUAGGGUUGGCCGAUGGCUGAUUAGCUAGUUGGUGGGGUAAAGGCCUACCAAGGCGACGAUCAGUAGCUGGUCUGAGAGGACGACCAGCCACACUGGGACUGAGACACGGCCCAGACUCCUACGGGAGGCAGCAGUGGGGAAUUUUGGACAAUGGGCGAAAGCCUGAUCCAGCAAUGCCGCGUGUGUGAAGAAGGCCUUCGGGUUGUAAAGCACUUUUGUCCGGAAAGAAAUCCUUGGUUCUAAUAUAGCCGGGGGAUGACGGUACCGGAAGAAUAAGCACCGGCUAACUACGUGCCAGCAGCCGCGGUAAUACGUAGGGUGCGAGCGUUAAUCGGAAUUACUGGGCGUAAAGCGUGCGCAGGCGGUUUGCUAAGACCGAUGUGAAAUCCCCGGGCUCAACCUGGGAACUGCAUUGGUGACUGGCAGGCUAGAGUAUGGCAGAGGGGGGUAGAAUUCCACGUGUAGCAGUGAAAUGCGUAGAGAUGUGGAGGAAUACCGAUGGCGAAGGCAGCCCCCUGGGCCAAUACUGACGCUCAUGCACGAAAGCGUGGGGAGCAAAC
rnacentral:rRNA from 1 species